AGCUCCCACACCGCCUCUGACUGGUGCUGCCCAGGCAGCUGGUACCUCCCUCACAUGCUGCUAAUGGCCCAUGCUACCAGGAUCCUGAAAAAGACAUGGGCAGGGGCAUUGCUCCUCAGCAGUUAUUGCUUCCACAUGUGUGUAACUGGCUUAAAAAUCACCUGCUGUGUCCCAGCAGCCCUGUUCUCAUUUCUAUCUCCCUCACAGCCGUUAGCUGGGCCCUUCAGGUGCAGCUGUCCGUGCUGGUGAGGCCAGGGCUGCUCCAUGCUGGCCCCCCAUGGCCCCACCACAGGGCCCAGCUGAGUCCCUCAGCCACAGGUGGGCUCCUCACAGACAGCAGAGCUCAGCAAGGGCCAAACACUGCCCGGCAGUGAGAAAAGGAGUGCGAGAAGCAGCCCUGCGAGCAGCCAGGGCAGGAGGUGCUCCAGGCACCCAGCAGAGCUUGCCCUGCAGCCCCUGGAGAGCCCAGGGUGUGAGGAGGAAGGGGCGGCACAGAGGAGCUGCUGGGUGUGACCGCAGCCCCGCUCCCCAGCCCUGUGCUGAGAUUGUGGUUGGCUGGAGACUGAAGAGGAAAGCACUUUAUUAUUAAAGAGAGAAGAAUCUCCCUGAACUGAACAAAUGUGUCACUUUUGAAUACGGAUUCAUGAAAAGGCAGAGAAGGAGAAGAAAAAAAGAAUAAAGGUAGGCAUUCACCAAAAGAUCUGAAAUUUGUAACUUGUGACUGUUUAUCAGUCUUUAAGUUCUGAAUGAAACUGCAAGUCAUACGUCAGUGAAUGGGAUUCAGAUCAUUAGCUUUGCAUUUCUUUUUUUCUUUAAAAGUGGCUGUUUGCAGAUAAAAUUUGCCAGAGUUGGUUGUAAUUGCAAUCAGGGAAAUCUAAUGGCUUUGUUUGAUGUGCUGCUUAGACCUUUCAGGCUGUAAGGCUUCUGAGGAGUCUUUUAAAGAUAUUGAUUAAAUUCUGGAGUUACUCUGUGCAAUUCAGUACUGUGCUGUGUGUAGAAGUCGGACUAGAUGAGUGUAAUGGUGAAUUCUGGACAUGAAAUUUUUUCAAGUCACUAAUAAAUUACUUUUUCCUUAUUUUAUUUCUGUUUUUAACACUUAACUGUACAGUUAAGUGUUUAAAAAAAAAAAAAAAAGAUUUAGCUACUGGAAUAUCUUUUGGUGAGCAUGAUGUUAUACAAAUGCCAGGAUUUCUUUCACUUUACCUGAAUCUGUAAUUUGACAUUUGAUAAUUCUCAUGUAUGCUUACAUGAUAUUUUGGAGGGAAUCCUCUUUGAAUUGCCUUUUUAUGUUUGAGUAGCUCUCAGUCUCCUGUAUACCUGUGGUUUGUUCUUCCGUUUGUGGUGAUGUGGAAUGGGUUAGAGAAGAGGAUUGCCACGGAUGCUGGUCAAUAUGAUUGGUCAGAUGCAGUCCAAGAUGAAAAUGUAGGCACGUGAGAUAUGUUAGGUAGGGUGGUGGUUCAAGAAAUAAAGUGAACAGUGUUUGAGAUACUUUCUCUAAGCUACCACAGCAGACAUGUUUUAGAUGUGUCUAAUGCUUUGGUGUUAACUGAUGAAAGUUAGGAAAAGUUUUGCAAUUAAUAUAGUAAGCUCUGCUGGACUGCAGCAGCCUGUUUGAGAUAGACCAGGGAUAACAGAAACAGGAGCAGUGGGUUCUUUGGCUGCAGCUGGACAGUCCAGGCUGUGCUAUCUGGGCAGAGGUGGGAUGACUUUGUGAAUUUCAGCCAGUUGUGAGGAGCUUCAUAGUGUAUGAAAAAUAAAUUCAUGCUGUUCACCUGCAAAAUGGAGGCAGAAGGGGUCUUUAAGUAGCAUACAGGGACCUGCUAAUGAGCAAUAUUCUCUCUGGUAAGGUGAAAUAAAGAUUUUGCCUAGAUGGCUGUAUAUUCUAGAUGAAAUAUUGCCCUCAGAGAAACCACUAAGAGUUUUUCCUCUCUUUUGUCUUGCUCAGCAUUUUGAAAACCAAUGGGUAGUGAGUUUCACACUACAGUUGUGAUAUUUCAUGAAACACAAGUUCUAAAAUUGUUCAUGUUAUUAUAUUUUUGUAAAUUUAUUAUUAAAUAUUACUUGUUAUUACUUGUGUUCUCAUAUUUCUUUUUACUUGAAGUAUUAUGUGCUGCUAUUACUAGUGUUCAAAUGUUAGAGUGGGCUUUUGUUAGCUCAUUUCCUGACUGUGUUGUUCUUAACACCUCUGAGAGCUGUAGAAUAUGAACUUUUUCAUUCAAUCUUUCAGCAUCUUGUAAUUUAUCCGUAAUGACACUGUAAAAAUGCAGAAUGAUCGAAGUGUAUUACAAAUUUCUCCUAAAAUGUGUUUAUACGUAUAGAAAUAUGUGCACCUGUAUAAAGGAUUAAAUUCAAUAACAUUUAUGUAUUAUACUUCGUUAUGCAUCAUAUUAUAUGGAAGAUUUAAUUAAAACCUAAGAAAAUUUA